rnacentral:rRNA from 1 species
GACGGUACCGGUAGAAGAAGCCCCGGCUAACUUCGUGCCAGCAGCCGCGGUAAUACUAAGGGGGCAAGCGUUGUUCGGAAUUACUGGGCGUAAAGGGCGCGUAGGCGGUUGGCCAAGUCGGGUGUGAAAUCUCCGGGCUCAACUCGGAGGCUGCCCCCGAGACUGUACUGCUUGAGUGCGGGAGAGGUGAGUGGAAUUCCCGGUGUAGAGGUGAAAUGCAUUUAUAUUGGGAGGAACACCUGUGGCGAAGGCGGCUCACUGGACCAUUACUGACGCUGAGGCGCGAAAGCGUGGGGAGCAAACAGGAUUAAAUACCCUGGUAGUCCA